rnacentral:rRNA from 1 species
GAUGAACGCUGGCGGCAUGCCUAAUACAUGCAAGUCGAACGAGAGGAAGGAAAGCUUGCUUUUCUGAAUCUAGUGGCGAACGGGUGAGUAACACGUAGGUAACCUGCCCAUGUGCCCGGGAUAACUUCUGGAAACGGAUGCUAAAACCGGCUAGGUAGCAGACAAGCAUUUGACUGCUAUUAAAGUGGCUAAGGCCAUGAACAUGGAUGGACCUGCGGUGCAUUAGCUAGUUGGUGAGGUAACGGCCAACCAAGGCGACGAAGCAUAGCCGGCCUGAGAGGGCGGACGGCCACAUUGGGACUGAGACACGGCCCAAACUCCUACGGGAGGCAGCAGUAGGGAAUUUUCGUCAAUGGGGGGAACCCUGAACGAGCAAUGCCGCGUGAGUGAGGAAGGUCUUCGGAUCGUAAAGCUCUGUUGUAAGAGAAAAACGACAUUCAUAGGGAAUGAUGAGUGAGUGAUGGUAUCUUACCAGAAAGUCACGGCUAACUACGUGCCAGCCGCCGCCGUAA